AAAAGUCUUAUCCGGCAGGAAAAAAAAAGGAGAAAGGUAGAUAUCAGUCUCCGGUGCUGCAAGUCUGGAAAAACAAAAAAGAAAUCCCAAGCCAGCUAAAGGCAGCUUUCCCACCUACUCUCAUUGCUGAAUUUCUUCCCUUAAAACAGUUGCAGAGUUCCCCCCCGAGGUGCCUGGCCAGCAGCGCUCCCGCUGCCCGAUGCCGUGAGCUCUCUCGCUGUGCGCAGUCCCGGGGCCGCGCAGGGCCGGGCCGGGCCAGGAGGAGCGGAGCCGUCCGGGGCCGUCGGGUUUUCCUCAGACGCCCACCUGUGUCGUGUCUGCAUUAGCCUCAGAACCGCGCCAGCUUCGGAAAGGUGCCGGCGGGCAAAGGACCAAAGGAGCAGGAACCGUGCCUUGAAGAUUCUCCCCGCGCCUUCAGGAGGAUGCUGGGCUGAGCCAAAAUCAAAGUGCUCUGCUGAGCUCACGUUGUGCUGCUGGGGAGUUGGUUUCAGAGGGGUUCCCUCACCCGGUCAGAAAUCUCAGCAUCUGUUGCAGCCGGGAUACAUUCCUUGAUCGUUUCUGAGUCUGCAAUUAUUUUUCUGCCUGCCCAGUGUCCCAGAGAUGUGAAACGAAGCUGCCGCGCUCUGCUGUUGAGCACUGAAACUCUACACCGACAUUCAAUUUAAUCUCUUGGAACAGACCGCAAUAAAGUAGUUUCAUCAGCACACACUUGUGAUAAAAAGGCGACACGAAGAAAGCCAGCGAACUAAAAGGCCCUGCAUUUUUCUGGGAAGACAAUAGGAUAUCUGUCUCUUCAUUUGUUUCAUGGAUUCCUUAUGCAGCCAUUCACAUUCAGCAGAAGGCUCCAAAUGUCUAAACUUUAUCCUGGGCAUUUUUUUCAGUGCUGGAAAGGAAUAGAGUUAAGUGUCCCAAGGGGAGUUUUAUAGAAAAUGCUAUGUGCAAUGUUAAUGAGUUGGGAAGGGGUCAUAUGUUUUUCCGUAUAGAGCCUAUGCAGAAACAAAUACGGAACCCAAGGAGAAAUGAUGUGCAAGGACCCGCUGAUGUGUGCCACAGGGUGAUCCUGGGCUUCUGUCACCCCUAAAAGAUGGGCAAAAGACUUCAAUCCCAAGAGCCCCCUGUGCCCCCGCAUAGCUCCAUGCCGGGCUGGGUGAAUAGCUGGGGCUGGAAGAAAUGACAAACUUCUUGGGUGCCACAAGAGAUUGCUUCAGCGUUACUGAUCCUCACUCUGCUCGUUACUGAAAAUGCAUCAAGCAGCUAUAUGGGUCAGACUGCUAAAUUUGUAGACACGGAGUGUCAGGAAGCCUUUUUGUCAACUUCGUACCGUUUAGUAUAUUUGUCCUCAAGUUCAAAGCAAUCCUGGCCUCAGACUUGUGAUAUUUUCUGCCCUUUCCCCUUUCUGUUGACUCAAACCUCUUCCCUUUGAGGUCAACAUCAAAAUAAAGAUGUAUGUUUCCUCAGCCUGACCAUGGCUCUGACUCUUUAGAUCAGCAAUCCUAUAGUCCAUAUGUCUUCCCAUCUGUCAACUGGCAUUUGAAGCCAGCUUGCUCCUCUAUUCUUUCAGACAAGUGUGAGAAUCAGAAGUUUCUUUAAUGACGGUUUCAGGCCUUAAAGCAUUUGCUAAGAUACUACCUAUUAAGAUCCCUUGAUGGCACCUUGAAUAGAGAUCAAAAGCAGCUGAGUUCACUCUGCAAAUCUAAUCUGGCCGUCAGUUUAGGGUGCUAGGAGAGGGGUGGGGAGGGCACUGUGCUCCUGUGGUGAGGAGCCUGGCCUGGGAAGUCAGCAUCAUGGCUGUGGGGAGUGCCAAAGCUCUGACAUGCACGAAGCAGUGACUGAGAGCGUGGCUCUCCGUCUGUCUCUCAAACGUUUCUAUUUUUAUUGCCUGCCAAGGGAUACUGCAAAGCCCUUGGGAUAUUUGGGAAAGUGUGUGCUCUUUGGGUUCAUUUCCCCAUGUGAUGGUUACAGAAGGCUUAGCAGUGAGGCAUGGCCAUUCGUUGAAGUUUCUGUAUGUUGAAAGGUGUGCAUGCUGUCGUGGAAAGGAUGGUGGAGGGCAUUCCCCAGAGAGACCCCCAGCCAGUGCUGACAAAAAGGCUGGCUGUUUAUGGGACCCAAAUGUCUGAGGGGGUCUGAACAUCCCCGGGAUGUGGCUGAGCACCAGAGGAUGAUGUCACAGCACUGACUGUCCUGUAAAACGCGACACACUGGAGUCAGGGACACCAUAUGGCCCUGGGUUUGCAAUGAAACCUGUUAAAGCGUGAGCAUGAACCUGAGCUCCAGAGAGAUCCUCUUUGGCCUCAGUGUCAUUAAACUUCAUCCAGGAUAUCACUUGUGCUCCCUGAGAAAAGCAGCCUCUCUGGCUGCCUGCUCUGGAGUGUCACUGCUUUUGGAGGAGGUGGUUGAUCAAAAUGUGGGGCAUGCAGAUUGUUUGCUUCCAAAAGGGGAAACAGAAAGGACCUUGAUGUAAUUUUACAUCUUUAUGAAGAAGAUGCACCAGCUCCUGGACACCGCACCAAGCAAAAUGUCGAGCCAGUUUUUGUUCCCAAAGCCUCUUUCAGCCAGCCCCUGCCCAAAAGCACUCUAUUUGAGAUUGUCACUGGGUUUUUUUUUUAAGAUGGAUUUGGCUUUUUGCUAUUUUUCUGUGCUUAUAAUCCUUUUAAUUCCACCAUUUUUCUUCUACGACCUUCGUUUAGUCUUUUCUGUCCCUCUUUUACAUGAUACUCAGCCAAGUCUGUCUCCCUGCUGUCAUUUUUAGUGUCAAUCCAUAUCUGCCUUUUUAGGGGGUAGUGGCACUGGUGACGUAUACUUGUGGUUAAAGCAAAAGCCACUACUGAGUUGGACAAAAUAGGAUGAAUGCUGUAUAAAAGCCUUCAGAGAGCUGUGAAAUCUCCAUCCUCUCUUCCUUGUUCUCCUGGGAACACUUGCACAAAGAGUAUUUUUAAUGUGAAGCAAAAAGGGUUCUGAUGAAUACUCAUUAACAUUUUGUUUCUGCGAAGAUACAUACAUGAUUCUAACAAGGCUGUGAGGGACAUGCGUUCAGGGAAGCUCUUAGAUGUACACUUAUUGCUGUGUGUGUGCUUAAAUCUUCCUGAUGGCUGCUGCUUUGCUGAACAGACAUAUUAACCAAAGACAAAAACAGGUAUUUAAUGGGGCUUGCUGGUCCUGCCCUGGCCAGAGGCAGUCUGCUGUGAUGAAGGUCUUCAAAUUCACUCCAUAGUGGUGCUCUGUGAGCAGUGAAUCCCCCCAUAGUGGAACGGAUUGGUUGAAAUAAACGCCUGCAAAUAAUUUGUAUCGUAGUUGUUAACAACAAACAAUGGGAGCAGAAUUUAACCAGAGAUUGCAAGGGGAAGCAACAGAGCCACCAGAGACAUUCUGUAGCAUGUUUUCGUCACAUUACUUUGUACUCAGCCCAGAUGGAAGUCAUGGGGUGAGGAUAUCACUUCACCAUUGACACUUUGGAAGCAUCAGUCUCAGAAAUGCAGAUUUGAUAUGGACGCUGCUGGCUGUAUCCCAACUAUUCUGAGCUGGUUAAAAAAGAGCCUUGGUCAGGAGGAGUUAAUUUAGCAUGGUGUUGAGUCUCAGCUAGUAACCUUCCCUGAGAGACAGGAGAAGCAUGUCUGUCUGUGCUUCUUCCUGCAGGUAUACCAUUGAUAAUGUUCUUCUGUUGCUCUGAAUGUCCUGUGGAAGGUGGUGGAGUGCUAGGCUGGCUUUGCUGUGUGUGCAGGUUGUGCCCAGCAGUGUGAGAGGUCCCUAGGUUAGAUCAGGAUUAAGGAACUUGCAUUUGCAUAAAAGGGAAACGUGCCUGAUGGGACCAGCUAUGCAGCAGAGGUAACCAGACGUGACAGCAGAGUUUCCAGGCUUUGCUGGAGUUCUCAUAUCUUGUCACAAGGCAAACUGUACACUGAUUUUUCAUGAGGUCCCUUUUCUUCCAGUGAUUGUAAUCCAAUCUGUG